UUAAUUAACCCUAGGGGUAUAAGUGUACAUUACCUCUUUAAUGAAACCUAUUUUUGUGACUUUGAGCCUUGAGUUUUGGGAACAAAAACUUGGUUUAGUGCUAUUCUAGUUUUUUUCUCUAUUAAAAAUUCUUUCUUUAGUUUUUCAGUGUUUCGUUGGAUUAUUUAGGAUCAAUCAACUUGUUUUUCUUAUUCGAAGAAAGUGAAAUAGUUUCAUUUAUUCAGGAAACGAAACUGAGCUCUCAAUUUCAUCAUAGGUCCCUAAACCCUACAGUUGUUUAUUUAGUUUAGAGAAAUUAGCACUCCUAUACACCGAUAACUGCUAUAUUUGCACCGAUGGAAUUAUGCUUUUUUUGAUGAUGUGUUUUUUUUUAAUGGCAGUUUUGUCCCUACCUUUUUCUACACAACUUAUUUCGUAUGUUUUCCAAAAUCCCUAUAUCUCUCUCCUCUCUCCUUUCUCGCCCCCUUUUCUUUCUUCUUCUACUCCUUCCUCCUCGAAACACCAAUCUAGUUUCAAAUCCCAUCCUCCACUCUCCUGCGUAUUCGUAUAAAUACAUAUACAGGACUGCUCAAACCUUUUCGAUUUGGUCCCAGAUUCAUUUACCAGAAGCUAUAUUCGUUUGAAAAAUAGAGGAUGGUGGGGAGUGGUACUAGGGUUUCGAUUACGGCGGAUACCAAGAAGACGAAGAGAUCACUGCUGGGAACUAUAGUGAGGAUGAGAUUCACGCAAUCCUCCUUGUAUGCAAUAUGAAUCCCAUGACGCUGCUCAACGCCUUCGUCUUCAGGGUAUAUCAUCCUCUUCUCUUAUAUGAUUCUUGAUUUGGUUUCUUUGACUGGAUCCACGAUUUCAUUAUGGGUUUUCUAUUUGUGGGGUUUUUUUAACUUCGGUUUGAGUAUUUGAUUUGCUAAGCUUAUGUCUGAAUUUUCUGGGUUUGAUAUCAUCGGAAGUAAAGCAUGUCCCUAGUUGUUAAUGUCAUAUUGUCUUGUUUAAGGUUUGAUUAGAGUAUGCGAGAAUCAAAGCAACACACAUCUGGGUUUUAGGGCCAGUGUCCGAUGGAUUUUUACCCUUGGUGUUGUGUCUUUCUGAUUUUUUUCAUUGUGUUUCUCUGUUUUGAUAGAUCCAGUUCUUCUUUUGUUUGAUUUUUGGACCUAUAGUUGUUUGAUUAUUUGCGUUUUUCUGGAUGCAGACGAAAUCAAUGUUAUAAAGAGAUCAUCUAUCAGUAAGUUCUUAGAGCUUUCUGAUCAGACACCAUACUCUGGUCAGUUAAGACGAUAGCCAUGUUUAUUUAGGACAUCUUUAAUCCAGAGUUGAUCUACUGACAGUACUCAUGCUAGUAAUGUUUGCAAGAUGGCCAUAAAUGUUGUUGUCUGUUUUUUUUGUGUGUGUCGUACCUGUUAAAUAACCGGCUAUUUAUCCCUUAUUGCAUUGGAUCUUUAUAUACUUAGCUGUAUCUUUAUAUACCUAGACAUAUUCUUUGUAUACUUAGCCAUAUCUUUGUAUACUUAUCUGUAGCUUUAUAUACUUAUCCGUAUCUUUGUAUACUUAUCCGUAGCCUUAUAUACUUAGCCGUAUAUUUGUAUACUUAUCCGAUCCGCCAUGAUCUUUGAGCAACAAGAUAACCUUUAAGUGAUGCUAUUGCUUUGUUUGAUGACUAGAUCAGGUCACUAGUUGAUGCUAUUGUUUUGUUUGAUGAGCACAUAAUGGCUUCUGGAUAUCAAUCUUUGGAACCAUCAAUGAACUGCCUAGUCAACAACCUCCACAAAAGCACCUUGGCAAAUUACGUGUAUACUGGAAUCAGAGGAGCAGCGUAUGUGGACUUCUUGGACAGUGCAUAGGAGUUGUGUCGGACGCGAUGUUCUUUGUGAUUCUUUACGAGCAAAUGCUAUCAACAUAUCUAUAACUAACUGCUAGACUGUUAACAUAUUUAAUACCCUUCAAUGUUAGACUGCUAACAAUUUUAAUAGCAUAUAACCAUUUAUCUGUUUAUGUAUCUUCGAAUAAUAUUGUGGUAUUGUUAGCAUGUUUUAUGACAUUGUUAGCAUGUCAGCAUAUCUAUUAACAUAUAACAGUGUUCUUUAAAUUUCUACCAGUUUCAAAUGAGAGCUAAUAAAAUAAUUAGUUCUACAAAGAAAUUUUUAUCCGGCUAACAAUUUUUUAAAUUAUAUCUUGUUGUGAAUUAUUAGGAAGCUAAUAUUAUACUUAGCCGAAUAUGUGAAUUUUUUACAUCCAAUUAUUCAGACACAAUCCAAACAUCUAUUAUUAUUAUUUUUAGCUGAUCAUGAAAAAAUUUAUCCGAACAAUAAUUUUAAGUGCACACCUAUAACAUUUUCGUACAUGUGGUUUUAUAUUUUUCUUAGCUGAACAUGAAAAGGUUUAUCCGGCUAAUAAAUUUCAGCUAUUUGUGUGUCAGCUAUUAGAACAAGUAAAAUUUUAUCUGCAACUUCAAAUUAUAUAAUGAGCCGGUUCGUUAUGUUGAGUUAACUCAAAACAAACUCACCUAGUCAACUCUGUAAAACAAUCCGAACCAAAUCUACCAUUUUUAUAGUGUGACGAGGAAUGUCCGGUGAUGUACAACCAAUAAAGAUGACGACACCGUAAGGAAUGAACCAGCCAACACAAAGAAAGUAGCCAUGAAGAAUCAUAUGUUAAAGAGAAGAAUGAAAGAGGAGGAACGAGAUCGACGUCGGCGUUGAGUAGUAUAUCAGUCGACGACCCUCGAAAAAUGAGUUUGAGAGUUUUCGGCUAGAAGCUAUUGAUUUUCUUUUGUAAUAAACGUGAGAAAUAUCAAACUUAAGAAAGAGAAACAAUAUAUAAUUACCUAAACCAUAAAAAUAGAUGUAAGAAAGAGAAAGGACUAAAAUGUCAUUUUAACUUCUUUCUCUCUCCACUUUUGUCUGUUUUUCCAUCUAUGCAAAUUAUCAACUUAUUUGAUAUUUUCUGUGCAAAUGGCUCUUUAGUUUACCCAUUAUUUAUAGGUUCAUUAAAGUUCAACCCAUAUAUAGUUGGCAUUAUUCUCACAUUCGUCACUACAUGACACAUCCAUCAUCACCAGCUAGCUGAUCAUCUGAAUUAUUCUCUUACAAAUAUCACAAUAAAAGAAAAAUCUAAAGGAUAGACUACACACUGUCAAAACUAACUUUUUUUUUUUCUGGCGAAAGCUACCCUCUAUGUGUGGUCCCAAAAAACAAGAUAAUUGUCGGAUCCUAAUAAAAGUCAUGAGGUUUACUUCAGAUCUUUUUGAACAGCCAUCGUAAAUGUGUAAUGUAAUUGAGACUCGAUGUCACAGCUUUGUGUAUGUAUAUCACUGUUUCUAUGAUGUAAACAAAUAAUUAUACGUGGUGGUUCUUUUCAAACGGAUAAUGUAACAUUUAAAGUGACAACAUAAAUCAAUUUGUAUAGAUUUUGUUACAAAAAUAGAUCGGUACAUACAAAUUCAGAUCAGUUACGAACAAUUUUUGUUCAGUAAAGAAUUUUUAUAUAUUUACAUGUGUUGUUGUGUGUUAGGUGAGUCACUUCAGACUUGCUAGUUGCUUCCAACUAUUUUUCUUUUUGUCACGGCCAUGGGAAUGGUUUCAUUUUCAUUUAGAUGUACCUUGUGUCAGAGGUUCACAACAAUAACAAACUACAAUUGACAUAAAAUAAGUUAUAUACUUCACCAAUUACCAAAAAAAAAGUCAAUCUCUAUCUUUUGAUCAUAACAGUCAUCUUAUCUUAGUAACAAUCUAGUAAAUGUUUUGGCGAAAAUCCAGCAUAUAAAAAAAUUGGUGUAUAUAGGUUGCAUUCCUUUAUAGGUUUUUGGUAACCAUUUCAUUACUUGACCGAUUCCAUAUUACUGAAGCAAUUCUAUUUACUUAACAGAUUCCAAGAUACUCAACCUUUAAUAAACAUAUUAUAGAUACAAUUCACCUCCAUUCUUAGAUUCCGACGGCUUCUUUUCACACCCACACAUGUUAAUAAUCCCUUCUCGGGUCAGAACAAAAACGACUAACCAGUUUUGAUACCAUUUUAUAACACACAUGGCCCCCUUCUUGUGUGCCCACAACAUGGUCUCUCUAGGUAUGUGGAUCCAUCCUAUCCAAUGGUUAGGAGCGUUAACUUUAAGAGAAUUGAAAAGUUUUUUUACAUGCAAUCACCACGUGACAUUUUUCAUGUUUUAGUAUCAUUUGUACGAUAUCGUGAAUUACUUUCUAAUAGAUCACACAUCAUUGCACUAUUCAACUUCAAGCACAUUUUACUUUGGAAUUCAUUAUAGAUGUGAAUGAAAAGAUAAAUACAUUUUAAUGACAUAAAAAUUAAAUCAAUUCUUUUAAACUUUUUCAUUUACACCACUAUAUACCAAAAAUAUUUAUGGUACAACUAAAUUUUACCCGUUUAAACCAAUAAUUUUCUUCUUGAUAAAUUUAAUUUUCUGAUAUAACUUGCAAAUAUAAUAUUAAAACCAUUAUUGGUUUUCUAACAAAAUUAUAGCAUUAAACAUUGUUUUGUAUAUGAACACACUUCUAAAUACUAAAAAAUAAAUGUGGAAACAUCAUGACCUAAUGGUCAAGGUUUUGAGGCUUCUACACCAAUGUAUAGGGUUCAAUUUCUAGAAGAUGCAAUUUCUUUCAGAUUCUAGGAUGCAAGUUUAUCGAAGGUUUCAAAGUGUUGUAGACAGAGUCGUUCGUUGUGAAGUGUACUGCCGAUAGAGCAUGUUCAUCGAGGAUGUCAUACGUGCGGAACGAUCCGUUGAUUCAAGUGUUAUGGGGAGAGAUUCCUCAUGAAAUUUUCUGUAAAAUCGUUCAUCGAUAUCUCAUAUGUUGCAGAUAGUUUAUCAUCAUUUGUAAUAGAAUUAGAGAUUAUAUGAUGAUGUACCUAGUGUUGAAAAAAAUACUAAAAAUAUAUAAGGAAUGUACAGCCGCGUUUAAAAGCCCAAAUUGGUUGAAAUAUAGUAUAGCCUAGGUCUAGGCAUAUUUAUUUGAAACCGAAGAACCGAACCGAACCGCAAAUGAGGUUAGUUAUGGGUUUGGAUCUUGUCAAUUAUACGAGUGGGUCAUAUAUCUCUAGAACAAAAAAUCAGAACCGAACUGGAACCAAACUGAGAACUAAGAACUGAAUGGAUAGCCAAAUUUCUAUAAUAUAGUUUAUAUAUUUAUAAAUAUUAAGAUAAAUUGCCACAAAUGAUCCUAAUCCAAGUGUUUCUUUCCAAUCUACCCCCAAAGGAAGAAAUAACUCAAAGAAGUUUUAUUGAAGGGUAAAUAUAUACUUUUAUACCCCUAAGGUUAACUAUCCCAAGACUUGGAUUAACUAACCAUAGACUUUGGAUUUAGAGUUAAGGAGUGAGAUUUUUGGGUGGAGUUUAAAAUUAAACAAAAUAGAAAUUAAUUUUGAAUUUUUUUAAAUAGUUUCAAAAAAAGAAUUUUUAAAUUUUUUAAAAAAUUGAAAAGUUUGGAAAAAUAAAAAUUGAUUUUUUUUAUAAUAAUCUAAUUUUGAAAGCAUAUAAUCCAAAAUUAUAUUUUUUGUAUUCUUAUUUUUUUUAAUUUUAAAUGUUAUAUAUAUAUAAAGCAACGAGUAGAAACGUCUUUUGCCUCUUUAGUAAAACCUAUUUUAGUCAUUUGCAUGCUUGAUGUCUAUUUUUUAUGACAAAAACUUAAAAAGGUUUCUUUAGAAAUUUGCCCUUUAAAAUAAUUAAAUAAUUUUAAAAAUAUUAUUUAUAUGUCGAAGUAUCCAAAAAAUCAAAUUACUAGAAUACUUUUUAUCCAAAAUUUAAAAUUAUUUCUGAAUUAUACCGAAUUUCUAUCUGAAAUCCCCAAAAAUAACCCAAUUGGUUUUUAAUUUUUAACCCGAAUUAACCGAAAAGCCGAAAUCAAAUGAGAUAUGAAAUUACCCCGGAUAUAAGCUUGUUUCCAACUUUGUUACCCGAAACAAACCGAGAUUCAAAAUAACAAAACCAAAAUCGAACCGAGCUUUCUAAACACCUGAAUGAAUCCUAAACGUUUAGAACUGAAGAACAAAACCGAAAGAACCGAAGAGAAUCGAAUGCCCCGGAAAAUAUAGCCUAUUUUCUAGUAUAUCAACUUCUUACAUUCUCGGGAACGGAAAUGUAAAAACAUAACAGAAUGGAAAUAAACUGGCGGGACUACUUCAGUGACCUUAAUGUCCAACUCCAACAAUGAGCUCUUAUGUGCUAGACUAGUAUAUCAACUUCUCACAGUGUCCGGAUUAUCAUUAAACACGCUGAUUUGCUAUUUGUUAGAUAAAUUAUGGAUUUCUUCUAAGCUUAGUUUUGGAUUCUUGGUUGGCAUAUAUACUUGCAAGACCAGAGAAACGCAAUCCAUAGAUAUAUGAUAGCAAAAUCUAACAGUCUCUACAAAGAAACAUUGUGAAGCAAAAAGAACACAUAUAUGAAGCGCUGAAAAAAUCAUGGAAAUGAUUACAGAAUAGUUUAUUGCUUCUUAGCAGGUUUCCAGCAGGGCAGAGCAUAGAGGACUCUUCCUUUCCAGCCCUGAAAAUCCAGUGGUUGUCAUUGUCGAUCAAAAAAUCUUUGUGGUCUCAGGCCUCGCAAACCGCUCAGGCCCUUCACAGGCGAUAACACUCAUGGCAUCCCUUAUGAUUAACUCCCUCUCCAUUAGGCCCAACAACUAGAACAAAAUGAAAUAAUAAUUGAUCACUCUUCUUCAUCGGAAGAGGAACAAUCUGUUCCUUUCGUAAACCCUGUAGAAGGAGAAGGAAAAAGUAAACAAAAAGAACUUAUUGAUCAAAAACCAACCAUAAAAAUUAAUGACAGUUACAAAAAUAAACGAGGAUAUUUUAGAUCCGAAACAGGAAAGCUCGAAAAAUAUCAACAAUUUAAACCAAAACCAGUAAAAUAUUAACGACUUCUUGGAUCUCUAUUGCGUUAAUCACCAAGAAGGGAAAAUCAGAUUACACACUUGGGUCUCUGAACAAGAAAUGCAGCUACAGUUAGACGAAACAAUUCAAAAAAUCAACGCCGGAAAUUAUUUAAAUCUCUUAAUAUAUAUCACAACUGAAAUUGUAUCCACAUACCUUGCCGGGAUGAAAGAUGCUAAUAAAAUUCAACUACAAAAUUUUAGAGACCAUCAAUAAACUCUUGUCACAAAUUGUAUCCACAUACCUUGCCGGGAUGAAAGAUGCUAAUAAAAUUCAACUACAAAAUUUUAGAGACCAUCAAUAAACUCUUGUCACUGUGGCUGAACAAUUAAAUACACAGUUCUUAGGCGGAAUAAAUGUGGCAACCCAUCCUCUCACUAGGAACCUAGGUUCACAGCGCUGCAGCGCACCGACUCCAACCCCUCUAUUAUGAGUCAUCUCUGACUCCAUAAUUAGGUUGUUGGUGAAACUUGAACCCAGGUCCUCACAGAUCAAUUGGUGACAACUCAUCCUGGAGGAGUGUUGUUAAAGAGUGACGACCUAGGUUCGAGUUUCACCAACAACCUAAUUAUGGAGUUAGAGAGGACUCAUAAUGGAGGAGUUGGGGUCGGUGCGCUGCAGCGCUGUGAACCUAGGUUCCUAGUGAGAGGAUGGGUUGUCACAUAAAAAGUCGACUUUUUAUGUGACAACCCGCCCCGUGGGAACUACCCGCCCCUUGGGCCCCAGGCUCACAGCGCUGCAGCGCACCGACCCCAACCCCUCCAUUAUGAGUUUUCACUAACUCCAUAAUUAGGUUGUUGAUGAGCCUCGAACCCAGAACCUCACCCUUUAACAGCAUUCCCACAGGAAAAGCUGUCACCAAUUGUUUAUAAACACGAUACUUGAGUACCUUUUAUAAUUGUAAAUAAAUUCUUAUAAUUAUAUAGACCUUUUCGUCAGUAUCUAAAAUACAUAUCGUUAACAUGCCCAAAAAUAGGAAAACAAAAGAAAGAAGUAGUAAAUAUACACAUAUAUAACACUAAAAAAGAAAAAUUAAAAAUUCAAUUAGUAAAUAAAAUAGAAUCAAUGAUGAACUAUGAAAAGGUUAU